GGCGAUCAGAUACCGCCCUAGUUCUAACCGUAAACGAUGCCAACUGGCCAUUCGCCGGAGUUACUUUAUGACUCGGCGGGCAGCCUCCGGGAAACCAAAGUUUUCUGGUUCCGGGGGAAGUAUGGUUGCAAAGCUUAAACUUAAAGGAAUUGACGGAAGGGCACCACCAGGUGUGGAGCCUGCGGCUUAAUUUGACUCAACACGGGAAAGCUCACCCGGUCAGGACACAGUAAGGAUUGACAGAUUGAUAGCUCUUUCUCGAUUUUGUGGGUGGUGGUGCAUGGCCGUUCUUAGUUGGUGGAGUGAUUUGUCUGGUUAAUUCCGAUAACGAACGAGAUUCUAGCCUACUAACUAGGCGCCAAAUUCUUUUGCUGUAUGGCGGCCUUCUUAGAGGGACAAGCAGCAAUUAGCUGCACGAGAUUGAGCAAUAACAGGUCUGUGAUGCCCUUAGAUGUCCGGGGCUGCACGCGCGCUACAAUGAAGGUAGCAGAAUGUAUCGAAACCGUGUCUGGGAAGACUCGGUAAUCACGAAUUAUUUUCGUGCUUGGGACAGGGCAUUGAAAUUAUUGCCCUUGAACGAGGAAUAUCUAGUAAGCGUGAGUCAUAAGCUCGCGUUGAUUACGUCCCUGCCCUUUGUACACACCGCCCGUCGCUACUACCGAUUGGAAGGUUCAGUGAAACACAUGGACUGUGUCCAGGGUGGCCCGUCAAACGGUCGCUUUGGUUCACGGGAAGUGCGUUGAACUGUCCCUUUUAGAGGAAGU
rnacentral:rRNA from 1 species